rnacentral:rRNA from 1 species
CAAUAGGUUGAUGGCGACCGGCGCACGGGUGAGUAACACGUAUCCAACCUACCGGUUAUUCUGGGAUAGCCUUUCGAAAGAAAGAUUAAUACCGGAUAGUAUAACGAGAAGGCAUCUUUUUGUUAUUAAAGAAUUUCGAUAAUCGAUGGGGAUGCGUUCCAUUAGUUUGUUGGCGGGGUAACGGCCCACCAAGACAUCGAUGGAUAGGGGUUCUGAGAGGAAGGUCCCCCACAUUGGAACUGAGACACGGUCCAA